UCCGAGUUGACCCCGACAUUCCGGGUGCAUGUCAAGCCCAGGUAAGGUUCUUCGCGUUGCGUCGAAUUAAACCACAUGCUCCGCUGCUUGUGCGGGCCCCCGUCAAUUCCUUUGAGUUUUAGCCUUGCGGCCGUACUCCCCAGGCGGGGUGCUUAAUGCGUUAGCUUCGGCACGGAUGGAGUCGACACCACCCACACCUAGCACCCAUCGUUUACGGCGUGGACUAC
rnacentral:misc_RNA from 1 species